rnacentral:rRNA from 1 species
GACGAACGCUGGCGGCAGGCUUAACACAUGCAAGUCGAGCGCCCCGCAAGGGGAGCGGCAGACGGGUGAGUAACACGUGGGAAUCUACCGUGCCCUGCGGAAUAGCUCCGGGAAACUGGAAUUAAUACCGCAUACGCCCUACGGGGGAAAGAUUUAUCGGGGUAUGAUGAGCCCGCGUUGGAUUAGCUAGUUGGUGGGGUAAAGGCCUACCAAGGCGACGAUCCAUAGCUGGUCUGAGAGGAUGAUCAGCCACAUUGGGACUGAGACACGGCCCAAACUCCUACGGGAGGCAGCAGUGGGGAAUAUUGGACAAUGGGCGCAAGCCUGAUCCAGCCAUGCCGCGUGAGUGAUGAAGGCCCUAGGGUUGUAAAGCUCUUUCAACGGUGAAGAUAAUGACGGUAACCGUAGAAGAAGCCCCGGCUAACUUCGUGCCAGCAGCCGCCGUAAUAC